CAGUAGCCACGGGAAAACAGAGGGUGCAAGCGUUAAUCGGAAUUACUGGGCGUAAAGCGCGCGUAGGUGGUUUGUUAAGUUGGAUGUGAAAGCCCCGGGCUCAACCUGGGAACUGCAUCCAAAACUGGCAAGCUAGAGUACGGUAGAGGGUGGUGGAAUUUCCUGUGUAGCGGUGAAAUGCGUAGAUAUAGGAAGGAACACCAGUGGCGAAGGCGACCACCUGGACUGAUACUGACACUGAGGUGCGAAAGCGUGGGGAGCAAACAGGAUUAGAUACCCGCGUAGUCCCUGUCUCUUAUAC
rnacentral:rRNA from 1 species